AUGGUAAACCAGGUGAGUCGUUCGAAAAAGAGUUACCAAUUUUCAUUUAGUCGUUCGAAAAUUAAUUACCCCCUCACAUACUGAUACUAGGGUUUAUAGUUUUUCCUCUGUUCCGAUUCAGGGAGGAAAAGGAAAAUGGUAGCGAACAACAGAAAGAAAAUUGAUAGGAUCAGUCAGUUACCAGAUUGUCUUCUUCAUCAUAUCUUCUCUUUCGCGGUCGCAACCGAUGUUGUCAGAACCUGUGUUUUGUCGAAAAGAUGGAGGUACUUGUGGACUUCUUGUCCCUAUCUUAAUUUUACUGUCGGGUAUGAUAGUACAGAAAAAUAUUCCAUUAACUUCAUCAAUCAAGUUCUUUUGCGUCGAAAUUCUAUACCCAUUAAGAAUUUUGUCUAUGAUGCAAGUAUUGAGGUUGAAGGCAGUGUGGUUGAAUCUUGGUUGUAUUAUGCAGUUAAUCAUCAAGUUCAACGUCUUACAAUCAACCCUUAUUGUCCUAAAAUUCCCAUUGAGUUUCCCAAGUGUUUUUAUGGCUGUACAUCUUUAACAACUCUCAAACUUAAUUCUGUUGAUCACUUUGAAGAAGCAAGCAUACUAUUGCCUAAAACUUUAGAGUUGCCCUCUUUGAAAAAAUUGCAUCUUAUUAAUUUUUCAGAUUUUGAUGGGACUGUGUUUUCAAGUAUUCCGAAUCUAGAGACUUUAAUACUUGAAAACAUAUACUUUGAUGGCAUCCAAAAUAAUUUCAGUGUUUCUGCUCCAAAUCUGAAAAACUUUUGUUUUUUAAAUCACCCGGACGACUUCUUUGAUUUCCAGUGUGAAUUUGUUAUUGUGGCUCCAAAGCUUAGGAAAUUCAAGUUUGUCGGAGAUGCUGCUUUAGUCUCCUCUACCAAAAAUCUUUGUUCUCUGGACCAAAUUGAAAUUGAUCUGUGCUGUGGACUGGAUAGAGUUUAUUCUAAGGAUAACCAACAGAAGUUUGCCCGCGAAGUACUCCAAAUGUUCAAUGCAUUUCAUAUUGCAAAAAACGUCACACUAUCCAUGCGUGUCAUCGAGGUUCUAUCCCUCAUUCCUUCUUUGCUGAAUGAGCACCCUUCACAGUAUCCAAAUCUGAAGUCUCUGAAGGUGAAGACUAAUGAGUUUUCCAAGAACAUCAAGAUACCCAGCUUUAUCUUAGAUUACUUUCUUACGGACUCUUCAUUGCUGGAAAUAUGCUGGGAAUAGUUGCAAAGAUAUAAGUCCUUGUUUUGAAGUCAAUAAGACCCUUGCUUCUUGAACUGUUUGCUGGCGAAAUUUGAUCAAAGGCAUGAUUUUUGAGUUGGUUCAUAUUGUGCAAGUCCAGGAAGGUUAGCAGCAUGUAUGUCUGUAUUUCGACUUAUUUCCGCAAGAGCUAUUCCUCGUUUUUGAAUGCACGAGCAAGUAAGCAACUACAAGUUACAACAAAGGCAUCAUAGCUUUUUCAUUAGCUUAAUUAGUAAUAUUUUUGUGCUCAGUUGUGGCUAUUGCUUUGUUUUUCUAUGUAUUCCUCCUUUUGGUUGAUUUGCUAAUAGUUUCUUGGGCGAGUCUUGUAUAUAACUUUUCUCCACUACAGUAGUUAAGCUUAUGCUCUUCAUCUUGGGAAA